CACGAAUGGCGUAACGAUGGCGGCGCUGUCUCCACCCGAGACUCAGUGAAAUUGAAAUCGCUGUGAAGAUGCAGUGUAUCCGCGGCUAGACGGAAAGACCCCGUGAACCUUUACUAUAGCUUUGCACUGGACUUUGAGCUUGCUUGUGUAGGAUAGGUGGGAGGCUUUGAAGCACAGUCGCUAGAUUGUGUGGAGCCGUCCUUGAAAUACCACCCUGGUAAUGUUGAGGUUCUAACUCUGCCCCGUAAUCCGGGGCGAGGACCAUGUCUGGUGGGUAGUUUGACUGGGGCGGUCUCCUCCCAAAGAGUAACGGAGGAGCACGAAGGUUGGCUAAGUACGGUC
rnacentral:rRNA from 13 species